CGGGUGAAUUGCUUGUUGCUGAAAAACUGCCGACUGCUGCUGGUGCUGAACAUAAGGACCCGAAUGCUGGAUGGCGUAAGGCUGCUGCAGAUUUCCGACAAAUUGUUGCUGGUACGGAAGCUGAUACAUCUGCAGCUGCUGCAGCGUCGGCUGGAAGAUCAUCUGUUGCUGUGUCGGUGCCAAGGGUCCCGGCGGCGGGAGCGAGAUUGAAGGCUGAACCGGUUGGUAGACCCCUGGCGCGAACCGAGGGGCACCAGCAGCCGGCGCAGAAACUGGCAGUUGGGUCGAAGAAGACGUGCUGGCAUGGGUGGCGGAGAGGCCAGGCGGCGCAGCCGGGUCGCCGCGCGUCAUUGGAGCACGUACAAUGGCCGUGAAGGAACGAGUGAACCUAGGGUUCAGUGCGUUC
rnacentral:lncRNA from 1 species